rnacentral:piRNA from 1 species
UUGUCUUGUUGUUGGUAAAACCUCCU